rnacentral:lncRNA from 1 species
AAUCAGUGCUAUUCAAUCUCUGUUGUUAAAGGGUCAACUAUAAUAAGAAACACUGUUACAUAUUUACACAUUUGGGUUUUUUUGUUUGUUUGUUUGUUUUGUUUUGUUUUGAUUUUUUU